CCGGGUUCUGCCAUCUCCCCCACCCCCAGUACUCAAGAAAAGGUGACUGAAUGUGGAGGCCAGAGUGCCCACUGGCACUGGAAGGCCCUGAGAGGAAGAACUGGCAGAUGGAAACACUGGGACAGAAUGUCAAAAUCGGCUCUGCCUUCCCUUGCCUCUACCACCUCCAUCACUCCUUGCACCAGGAUUUUUAUCAGUGUAGAAGAAGAGUCCUUGAGCACAACAGAUGGACUCCACCGGGGCCUGAUCACCUUUUAAAAAUUAACAUUCCUGGAUUUGCAUUGAAAGCUAUUUGCAACAUGACCUUUAGGGGAAGAAAAAUAUCACAUGCCAAGGGUCAAUAAAUCAA
rnacentral:lncRNA from 1 species